rnacentral:rRNA from 1 species
GACGAACGCUGGCGGCGUGCUUAACACAUGCAAGUCGAACGGAAAGGCCCUGCUUUUGUGGGGUUCUCGAGUGGCGAACGGGUGAGUAACACGUGAGUAUCCUGCCCUUGACUUUGGGAUAACUUCAGGAAACUGGGGCUACUACCGGAUAGGAGCUCCUGCUGCAUGGUGAGGGUUGGAAAGUUUCGGCGGUUGGGGAUGGACUCGCGGCUUAUCAGCUUGUUGGUGGGGUAGUGGCUUACCAAGGCUUUGACGGGUAGCCGGCCUGAGAGGGUGACCGGCCACAUUGGGACUGAGAUACGGCCCAGACUCCUACGGGAGGCAGCAGUGGGGAAUAUUGCACAAUGGGCGGAAGCCUGAUGCAGCAACGCCGCGUGCGGGAUGACGGCCUUCGGGUUGUAAACCGCUUUCGCCUGUGACGAAGCGUGAGUGACGGUAAUGGGUAAAGAAGCACCGGCUAACUACGUG